rnacentral:rRNA from 1 species
GACAGAGGAUGCAAGUGUUAUCCGGAAUCACUGGGCGUAAAGCGUCUGUAGGUGGUUUAUAAGUCAACUGUUAAAUCUUGAGGCUCAACCUCAAAAUCGCAGUCGAAACUAUUAGGCUAGAGUAUAGUAGGGGUAAAGGGAAUUUCCAGUGGAGCGGUGAAAUGCGUAGAGAUUGGAAAGAACACCGAUGGCGAAGGCACUUUACUGGGCUAUUACUAACACUCAGAGACGAAAGCUAGGGUAGCAAAUGGG